ensembl:snoRNA SNORD65 small nucleolar RNA, C/D box 65
AUAUGAUGAAAUCACCCAAAAUAGCUGGAAUUACCGGCAGAUUGUGUAGUGGUGAGCCUAUGGUUUUCUGAAG